rnacentral:lncRNA from 1 species
AAAUAAUGAAAAUGCAUACACAAUACUAAUAAAAUUCAAAUUUUAUAACUGAGAUUAAGAUUAGCAUAAAUGGAUAUCCAGAAUAUUUUUGUACUGUCGAAAAAUUCAACAUCGAAACAGAAUUGUGCUUCACAACACAUGAACCAGUUCUAAAUUUGAACAUUGAUGCAUCCAACGUUCUGAACAAGUAAAAAUGUACAUCCUCUUGCAUCUUCCAUUUAUUAAAUAACACAACGCACCGUCGGCAACAACACUCAAAAUGAAAGGAAUGACCAUUCAAGUUAUAAAAAUUUCAAAACGGAAAAUUUUGUUGUUUGGCAUUGCCAAGAAAGAGAUCCUAAAUUAUUAAAUUUUCGCAAUUAUAGAUAAAGAACAAAAUGAGAUGGGUGUGUGAUUAUGUUGCUGAUUCCUUGGCAAUCUUCUCUGCCUUGGCAAUGACUUCAUCAAUACCACCAACCAUAUAAAAUGCCUGUUCUGAAAGGUCAUCGUAUUUGCCAUCCAACACACCCUGCAAGUUAUAGGAUAACAAAAGGUUAUUAAUAAUCAUAGCUUUUCAGAAGUUAGUUAAAAACUUAUUUAAAAGUUGGUCAAAAUAAACUACUAUAGACAAUCGCUAAAUACUUAGAACAAGUUUUUUUUUUAAACAAAUCACAAAUUAAAAAAACCCUACAUAUAACAAGUAUCGAAAAAUAAUUCCUAAGGAAUAGGUCAAGCACAAAGAAAGAGGUCCAUUUCAGAUAGCAAAAUGCAUAAUUUCUAGCAAGUCCCAAUUCAGUAAAGAAGGAGCAAACUUAACGCCUGCCCGAAAAAUUAGCAGGUGCUUUGAAAGUAAAAACAGACUAAGAAACUCCAAUUUUGAGAACUCAAUUUAAAAUGUAGAAGAGAAGAUAAUAAACCACAAGUAGAAAAAUAAAAUGACAGUAAACAAAAACUUAUCUGCCUAUGACAAUCAGGAAGAAAAUAGAGAAAAAUAAAUGAGGUCAAACAAAUAAGAACCUGGAAACUUUGAGUGUUCUCCUUCAACUCAACAUAUUUGCCUGGGGCACCAGUGAAAACUUCAGCCACAUGGAAAGGCUGGCUUAAGAACCGUUGAAUUUUACGGGCACGUGCAACAGUCAAUUUAUCAUCUUCACUGAGCUCAUCCAUUCCCAAAAUUGCAAUGAUAUCCUGAAGAUUCUUGUAAUUUUGAAGAACUUGUUGUACACCACGAGCAGUUUGGUAGUGCUCAUCACCCAAAAUAAGUGGAGAAAGCAUACGAGAUGUUGAAUCCAAUGGAUCCACGGCAGGAUAGAUACCAAGCUCAGAGAUCUAUAUUCAAAUAACAUCAUUUAGUUCAUGAUGAUAACCAAAAAAAUAUCAUAAUUGCCACUUCAGUUUAAUUAAUUAAUAUUAAUAUAAUAAUCAAACCUGUCUUGACAACACUGUUGUAGCAUCCAAGUGAGCAAAUGUGGUAGCAGGAGCAGGAUCUGUCAAGUCAUCAGCAGGCACAUAGAUAGCUUGGACAGAGGUAAUUGAACCCUUCUUGGUGGUUGUAAUACGCUCUUGAAGACCUCCAAGAUCGGUAGACAAUGUUGGUUGGUAACCAACAGCAGAUGGAAUACGACCAAGCAAGGCAGACACCUCGGAGUUAGCCUACAGUUGCAUCAUGCAUUAAUAUAAAAUGAUAAGAAUGACGAGAACAAUAUCAAUCUAUAUAAAACACUAUACACCUAACAUUAGGGUUGUUCAUGGUUUGGUCAGAAAAGAAAAUCAAACCAAACCCAAAAAACAGUAUAAUGAACCAAAUUGAAUUGCUUGUGAAACUGGUUACAAGGUUCUUAUGCUUCUAUACAGAACUAGUUCUAAAUUUUAUGAUUUUAACUGGUGCCUUUUACGGAACACAAAGAACAAGAUAUGUAAAUUACUCAACAAAACUAAAAAACAAUAUUAAACAAUCUGUUUAAAAUAUCAGAAGUUCAGUUUGUUUUAGUUUGGUUAAAAAGUGGUUUGGUGCGGUUUGCAGCUCGGUUUAUCAAAAAAAAUCCAAACCCCUAUCAAACAGGUGCGCAUUAGUGUUGGGCACUGAGAUGUGUUUGAUUUAAAGUUUGGUGCUUACUUGAGUAAAGCGGAAAAUGUUGUCAACGAAAAGAAGCACAUCUUGUCCUUCAGCAUCACGGAAGUGUUCAGCAACAGUAAGUCCAGUAAGACCAACACGGGCACGAGCACCAGGGGGCUCAUUCAUUUGACCGUACACAAGGGCACAUUUGCUUUCACUCUGAAAAUGAAAUAACCAUGAUUAACAACUUUGAUAAAUGAAAAUAUUAUGAAUAGUAUUAUUGAAUGUGUACCAUGAAUAAUAGCAUUGUAUUUACCUGUUUAUCACCCAACUUAAUGACCCCACUCUCAAUCAUUUCUCUGUACAAGUCAUUACCCUCUCUGGUUCGUUCUCCAACCCCAGCAAACACAGAGAAACCACCUAAUAAAUGGAAACAUCAGCAUAAAUCACAGAAAAAUAGCAUCUCUACAAGAAUAAGUUAAGUAAACUAAGUUAGCAUAUACCAUGAGCCUUAGCAACAUUGUUGAUAAGCUCCAUAAUAAGCACAGUCUUUCCUACACCGGCACCACCAAACAACCCGAUCUUUCCUCCCCUUUGGUAUGGUGCAAGCAGGUCAACAACCUGUACGAAAAUUUACGCAAAAAUGGUAUAAAGCCAUUAGACAAUUGAACAUAUAAAGAUUUAAGGAAAGAGGGUUGAUGCAUUCACAAAUACCUUGAUACCGGUAACAAGGAUCUCUUGCUCAGUUGCUUGCUCAACAAAAGCAGGAGCUUCUCUGUGAAUGGGCAAAUAGUGCUCGGUUUCUAAGGAAAUUCACAAAAAUCAUCAUUAGUUGAAAACAUUCCAUGGAAUUGUCAAAUAAAACUUUAUUAUAUAAAUUGAACUUAAAAAAAUAUCAAGCUUUCUCUUACUGAAUUCGCCCUUUUCAUCAAUAGGUUCUCCGAUAACAUUCAUGAUACGACCAAGGGUAGCCCUACCAACAGGAACCUAAAAGGAACACACAAGUUAAUAAUAAAAUCUUAAUUAUCCAAACAUUAAACAAAGGAUUGCAAAUCCAUAAUGCAAAAUGCAAGUCUAAAAGUAAGUUGAGAACUGGAGCAAAUGCCACCAUAGUAUGUAGGAUAAGAUCAAAACAAAUUAUGUAGAUUAUUUGUAAAUUAAUAAAAACUGUAUUAAGCAAAUGCCACCAUAGUAUGGGAAAAUUAAGGUUGAAAAAGUACACAGAAAUCUGGAAGAAAUACAAUGAAAAAUAUAAUGAAAUUGAAGGAUAUGUGCAUCAAACAAUCAACCAAGGAAUGCUUUCUGUUUUCAUUUCUUGCUUUUACUUAGAAUUGCAAAAAUGUAGCAAGUAUUCACUCUACUUUUAAAUUGUAAAGAGAACAAUUUUAUUAUUAAAAGGGAAUACAGGAAAUGUAAACAUAUAUAAUUUACUGAAACCAAACAGGCCAUAACGUACUUUCAAUGUACACAAACAAUGUGACAGGAAAAAAUGAGUUACAAACAUGAAUUUCGACUGAUCGAUAUCAUCAUCGGUCCAAUUGAUGGAAGAAAGCAGAGGACCAAUAAUUUAAAACAAUAAAUUGAUUUCAUCCAACAAACAUAAAGUGGCAAACUCGCAUACACAAUCAAAACACAAAAUUAAAAACCAAAUCAAAUUCUCAUUUCAAAAAACACAAAAUUUGUCAAUUGCAUAAAGGCAAAAAAUGCAUCCAGAUCCACAAUACGCAACCAAAAUAUUCAGAUAAAAAUUGAUCGGAAAAUCAGAUCUUAUAAUCCACAAAGACCAAAAUAGUUUUAAAAAAAAUCAGAAAUUGCAACCAAAAAAUGAAAAUUCAAAACAAAUAAGAGGAAAAUGAUUAGGUAUAUACACUGAUAGGAGAUCCAGUGUUGAGCACGCGCCAUCCUCUAACAACUCCUUCAGUUGCAUCCAUGGCAAUAGUUCUCACAACACCUUCACCCAAAUGCUGUGCAACUUCCAACACCAAUCGUGAAGUAUGAUCCAAAACCUCAAGAGCGGUCAAGAUCGGAGGCAAACCCUCCUCGAAUCUGACGUCAACGACGGCACCGAUAACUUNNNNNNNNNNNNNNNNNNNNNGAUAACUUGGCAAACGUGUCCGAUCGCACCUUUACCAGUAAACUCAUCGGUGAUUUUACCACCUCCGGGAACCUCCUUCUUCGCCGGAGGAGUAGAUGGUGCUGUAGCAGCCGCGGCGGCAGUUGCAUAAUCGGCGACACGAUUCAGAAGGUAACCAUAGGGGGAAGCGCGAGAUUGAGAUGUGAGCCUCGAUGUUGAGGCGGAAAUUGAGGGUUUGGAUGAAGAUCUACGAAGAGAAGAACGAAUCAGAGAAGAUACNNNNNNNNNNNNNNNNNNNNNNNNNNNNNNNNNNNNNNNNNNNNNNNNNNNNNNNNNNNNNNNNNNNNNNNNAGAGAGUGUGGCACUUUAUAGCAGAAAUUGCUAAACCAAAAGUUAUAUUCUUCGAUUUUCGCCUCUAUUCUUUUUCUAAUUUUCAAUUUUGACCUCAUAGUUUUUUGUUUUUUUCAUUUACUCCAUUAAAUUAAAUAGGUAAUUAAUAAUUUGGUCAAAAAAUGUUAAUAAUCAAUAAUGAAUAAUAAAUAAUAAAUUCCAAUUUGAAAAGUAGUAUAUAGUAUAUGAUUAAAAAAUUAGCAUAUUUUGGAGGAAAAAAAAUUUACUACCUUGUAGAAAUGACAAAAUCAUAUAUUAUACUAUGUUUUUUAACUCUCCAAAAUUAUGGCUUCACAUACACACCGACCAGUUGUUGUUAGUUUUGUGACAAUGAUGUCUUGCAUCCAAUAUCCAAGUAAGCAAGUAGAAUAAAGUAAAAUUGUACAUGCUCAUCUCAUGCUUCUUUCCCCUUUUAUUGAUUAAAUAAAUAAAUUACACAACGGUAAAUAAAAAGGGGUAUAAGCAAUGGUUCAUCUUACAUCCGAAACAAUAUUAAAAUGAAAGGAAUUUUACCUGGCAAAAUUUUUAACAAUGAAAGAGAUCCUAAAUUAUUUUGCAAUUAUAAAUUAAAAAAAAAAUAUGAAUGAGAAAAGCUUUGUGUGUGAAUUGUGAUUAAGACGUUUCAUUUUCCUUAGCAAUCUUCUGUCCCUUUGCAAUGACUUCAUCAAUACCACCAACCAUGUAAAAUGCCUGCUCAGGCAGGUCAUCAUAUUUGCCAUCCAACACACCCUG